rnacentral:tRNA from 1 species
GUGAGCAUAGUUUAAAAAAAACACUAGAUUGUGACUCUAGAGACAGAAAUCUUAUUCUUGCACACC